GGGUAUCAUGUUUGUACCUUUUAAGAUGUGAUUAGCUUUAUUCUGGAAAUUCAAGGGGUCUUUUGUUAUUUAUCCACUCUGUCAUUCUGUUUUUGAUACCUCGAAAUACCUCUGCAUUAAAUGCUCAACGAUUUUGUAUUUCUGACUGAUGGCGUUAAGUUACUGAUGUGAAAUGUUUGUGGGUGCAUGAAAUUUAAAAAAUGUAAACAAUACUAAAUGAAUACCGGUAUACUGUAUUAAUCUGCGCAAAGUGUGUAAUAGCUAGCUGCCUAAACAGAUGGUGACCGCUUCAGAGUGCAACAAUAAUCUAUCCGGUAGCAGAAGAGUUGCUCUCUCGUUUAUUGCACUGCAAAGCUAUAAUGUUUUGUAGGAGCUGAUGUGUGGUGAGCGUACUGGAGCACUAUGGCCGCCGUCGCAUCAUCCAGUUGAGUGCGGCACGUAGUGGUGGAGGGGGGUCCCUGUUACCCGUAAAGUCAUUUGAGUGGAGUUUGCAGAAUAGUGCUAUACUUCCAGUCACAGGAGUUAACGGUCUCAGAAAGUGGACAGUCAAUCAGAGGCUUCCAGUUAGGCAGCAAAUUUAACUUUCCAGUCUGCAAACAAAACAUCAGACAUGGAUUUUCCAGUGAGCUGGAUUCUAACCUGGACAAUGGGAUCAAGGCAGGAUACUCCAGGGGUACUCUGACGUACACAGUGAACACCUCUGAAAUGCCAAUUUACAAAAACAGGUGUGAGAGGGAACCAGAGCACCUGGAGAAAACAUAAAAAGACCAAGCUGAAAUCCAACCCAUGACCUAAGAAUUGUAAGACAGCAGUGCUAACUGCCACACCACUAUGCACAAUUGAUUUAUAUAUACUGUAUGUCCACCCUUUUUGGAAUUGCCAAUUGUUAUAAUAAUUUAACCUUCUGGUAACAUUUCUUGAUCUACACCUGCACAGGGAAAAUGAGGGUCUGAUGCACUGCUUCUAUACAGUAUGUGCUAUUCAACUUUGAACAAGGUACAAGCUCUUCAUGAGAGAGUUAGCACCAACCGAAGGAGCAGUGCAUUUCUCACCGAUGUCACUGGAAGGCUGCAAUUGUACCACAAAACAAGAUAGUGCUGUUAUACCAAGAUUACCCUUGCUUAUCCAUGCCCAGCCUACACAAGCAAUAUUCCGCCAGUAUGCUGUUGCUUGGGAAUCGCAGUCAGCUAAAAAUGUGUGGUUUAGAGACAUAAUACAGACAAAUACAUGCUAUCUCUGUUGUAAUGAAAAAUUGAAUACAGUUAUUAUCAUAAACAACAAAUAUGUUGUGUGAAAGUAAACUAAUCUGAAAUGCACCGAUAAUUAUAAUAAUAAAAGGAGACAAAGCCUAAAAUAUCCCUUAAGUGAAAUUACUGCACUUUUUGGGUCCUAGUUUUGUAAGAUUAGAAAAUGUUAAAGGUUGGUAAAAGUUGGCAAGAGACAAAGACCAAAGAAAUCACGAACUUAAAGGGUCUGAAACCGUUUCUAUUCUGACACUGUGCAAUAUAUUAAUAAAUAUAAUAUCCUCUACUCACUUCCAAGAAUCGGUCUUUAAAUUGCAACUGUAAUCUUUGAAUUUGUAUUUUUUUCCUAUUUUGUUUUGUAAAUUGACAUAAAUCUGGAAAAAAAAUGCCAAAGACAAAAGCAUAGAAAGUGGAAAGUGUUACUCUGUUUAUCUCUCUGCUUAAGAAGUUCCAGUAUGUACAGCUUCCAAUCAGGAAAGCAGGGGCUGGAGUUAAAUCUAUCAACCCUGCCUGUUACAGCUUAUAAACCUAGGACUUGAUGUUAGUGGUAGUGACAAGUUUCUGGCCAAAAAUAAUAAUAUUCUUUUGUUAAAUGUUUAUGAUUAGCAGUGGAUGUCAUCUGGACCUAGCGAUUUUGAUGUCAUCUGGACCUUUGUCUAUAUUAACAAUAAAAAUCGAGUUUAAUAGAAUUUAUCCUCACUGUCAGUUCUUAAUAUACCAUUAUUUUGGGGGCAGUUUUACAUUUGUAG